CCUACGGGCGGCUGCAGUGGGGAAUAUUGGACAAUGGGCGAAAGCCUGAUCCAGCCAUGCCGCGUGUGUGAAGAAGGCCUUCGGGUUGUAAAGCACUUUCAGUGGGGAAGAAAGCCUUGGGGCUAAUACCCUUGAGGAAGGACAUCACCCACAGAAGAAGCACCGGCUAACUCCGUGCCAGCAGCCGCGGUAAUACGGAGGGUGCGAGCGUUAAUCGGAAUUACUGGGCGUAAAGCGCGCGUAGGCGGUCUGAUAAGCCGGUUGUGAAAGCCCGGGCUCAACCUGGGAACGGCAUCCGGAACUGUCAGGCUAGAGUGCAGGAGAGGAAGGUAGAAUUCCCGGUGUAGCGGUGAAAUGCGUAGAGAUCGGGAGGAAUACCAGUGGCGAAGGCGGCCUUCUGGACUGACACUGACGCUGAGGUGCGAAAGCGUGGGUAGCAAACAGGAUUAGAUACCCCUGUAGUC
rnacentral:rRNA from 1 species